rnacentral:rRNA from 1 species
UAGGGAAUCUUCGGCAAUGGGGGCAACCCUGACCGAGCAACGCCGCGUGAGUGAAGAAGGUUUUCGGAUCGUAAAGCUCUGUUGUAAGAGAAGAACGUGUGUGAGAGUGGAAAGUUCACACAGUGACGGUAACUUACCAGAAAGGGACGGCUAACUACGUGCCAGCAGCCGCGGUAAUACGUAGGUCCCGAGCGUUGUCCGGAUUUAUUGGGCGUAAAGCGAGCGCAGGCGGUUUAAUAAGUCUGAAGUUAAAGGCAGUGGCUUAACCAUUGUUCGCUUUGGAAACUGUUAAACUUGAGUGCAGAAGGGGGGGGUGGAAUUCCAUGUGUAGCGGUGAAAUGCGUAGAUAUAUGGAGGAACACCGGUGGCGAAAGCGGCUCUCUUGUCUGUAACUGACGCUGAGGCUCGAAAGCGUGGGGAGCAAACAGG